rnacentral:rRNA from 1 species
UACGUAGGGUGCAAGCGUUGUCCGGAAUUAUUGGGCGUAAAGAGCUCGUAGGCGGUCUGUCGCGUCGGUCGUGAAAACUUGGGGCUUAACCCUGAGCUUGCGGUCGAUACGGGCAUGACUGGAGUUCGGCAGGGGAGACUGGAAUUCCUGGUGUAGCGGUGGAAUGCGCAGAUAUCAGGAGGAACACCGGUGGCGAAGGCGGGUCUCUGGGCAGUAACUGACGCUGAGGAGCGAAAGCGUGGGGAGCGAACAGG